CUUGGAGGCUUCACAGGUGGCUCAGCAGGAGACAGAGUGUUCAAUCCUUGGGUCAGGAAGACCCCUUGGAGAAGGAAAUGGCAACCCACUCCAGUAUUCUUGUCUGGAGAAAAAUGAGGCUAACAAAGUACUUCAAGAUAUGGAAAGAAUUGCCUCGGAGUUGAAGAGUUUCCCAUCACAGGGACACUUAAGGAAGCAGCUUUGUUGGAGAAGGUCAUGGAGAGGCCAUGAUUGCUGGUUGAAGUGAGAGCUGGAUACAGGUGGGACAGAGCCAUCACUGGUGCAGGUUUAAUUGAAUAUAAUCCAUUUGAGUCAGAAAAGAUGCUUCUGUCUUUUCUGAGGAUGAGAGUGUAUAAUUUCAGAAUGAAGGGAAGUGGGGCUACGUGAUGGUGGGAAAACAUGUUGAGACAAGCUGGGCAGAAGAGUGAGCACUGCUGGGCAGCGUGAAGGAGAGAGAGCCCUUCCUGUGGCCAACAAUUCACCCACCUGGUCUACCUCAAAUGGCAGUGCUGGCUCAUAGGCCAGUCCUGAAAUCAGCUGAGCCACCCCAUCGUGUGACAGAAAGCUGCUCUGCAGGAACCUCCUGAUCUUGUGAUCUAGAAGAUGUGUCCUGCCUUGUUCCACAAUGAAACUGGCCAUGGGGAUAAUAAUCUACUUCUGCCACCCCAUUUAGGAACAUUCUGGGACUAUGAGGCAAAAAAAAAAAAAAAAAAAAAAAAAAAUCCUUCCCAGGCAAUCUUGAUUUUUCUCUGUAAACUUUCCAUUUUAUCACACUGGAAAGCUGGUGUUUGUUGAGCUAGUUAUAUUCAUUCAAAAAGUCUUUGCUAAGCCCAGUGUCUGUGUGUGGUAGCAGCAGUAGUAACAACCAUUUAUUAAUGUUUACUGUGUGCCUGGAACUGGGCUAGGUGCUUAUUUCCCUAAAUAUUUAUGGAAACCAUUGCAUGAUUAUUAUCAGCAAUUAGCCGGAGAAGGAAAUCAAAGUUUACAAAGGAGUAGUAAUUUUCCUAGGGUCACGUGACAAUUAAGUAAACGUGUAGAGGUUUGAAUUUAGAAUUCUCUACCUUUUGAGACAUUUUUCUUUUCAGUGCUUUAAAAAGCUCCCCUAUAGUGUUAUUCUAAGUAGAUGUCUUGGGCAGAAGUAAAAGGAAAGUAGGGCCACUUUCUUGCUGUGCACAUGUUCUAGCUGGGGAGAAAAACAUAUUUGUAUAACAAAGACAAAUUCAGUAAGUUGAAUAUCAAAUGGACCUGCACCACAAAAGCACAUGUGUUCUCACUUGAAGGUAUGAUUUUUAUUCGAGGUCCUGCAUUUCAGGAAUGAAAUGAAUUUAUGAACAGAGAGUAUACAUCUUACUUUAAUUUUUCUGUGGAAUUGUUCUUUGUUGUUCAGUCACUAAAUCAUGCCCGACUCUUUGUUACCCCAUGAACUGAAACAUGGCAGGUUUCCCUGUCCUUCACUAUCUCCUGGAGUUUUCACAAACUCAUGCCCAUGGAGUUGGUAAUGCCAUCCAACCAUCUUACCCUGUAUCACCCCCUUCUCCUCCUGCCCUCAAUCUUUCCCAGCAUCAGGGUCUUUUCAAAUGAGUCAGCUCUUCACAUCAGGUAGCCAAAGUAUUGGAGCUUCAGUUUCAGCAACAGUCCUUCCAAUGAAUAUUCAGGACUGAUUUCCUUUAGGAUUGAGUGAUUUUAUCUGCUUGCAAUCCAAGUGACACUCAAGAAUAUUCUUCAGCACCACAGUUCAAAAGCAUCAAUUCUUCAGUGCUUAGCCUUGUUUAUGAUCCAACUCUCACAUUCAUACAUGACUACUGGAAAAAUCAUAGCUUUGAUAAUAUGGGCCUUUGUCAGCAAAGGAAUGUCUCUGCUUUUUAAUGCUCUUUAUAUGUUAGUCAUAGAUUUUCUUCCAAGGAGCAAGUGUCUUAAUUUUGUGACUGCAGUCAUCCUCUACAGUGAUUCUGGAGCCCAAGAAAAUAAAAUCUGCCACUGCUUCUGCUUUUUCCCCAACUAUUUGCCACAAAGUGAUGGGACCAGAUGCCAUGAUCUUUCAUUGAGUGUUGAGCUGUAAGCCAGUUUUGUCAUGCUCCUCUUUUAACCUCAUUAAGAGGCUCUUUGGUUCCUCUUCAUUUUCUGGCAUUAGAGUGGUAUCAUCUGCAUAUCUGACGUUGCUGAUAUUUCUCCUCUCAGUCUUGAUUCCAGCAUGUGAUUCAUCCACCCAGCAUUUUGCAUGAGGUACUCUGCAUAUAAGUUAAAUAAACAGAAUGACCAUAUACAGCCUUGACAUACUCCUUUCCCAAUUCUGAACCAGACAGUUUUUCCAUGUCCAGGUAUAACUGUUGCUUCUUGACCUGCAUACAAGUUUCUCAGUAGGCACGUAAGGAAGGCAGUCUGUUAUUCAUAUUUUUAAAAAAUUUUCCACAGCUGUGAUCCACACAGUCAAAGGCCUCUGCAUAGUCAAUGAAACAGAUGUUAUUCUGAAACACCCUUGCUUUUUCCGUGAUCUGACAACUGUAUGUAAUUUGAUUUCUGGUUCCUCUGCCACUUCAAAGCCCAAAUUGUACAGCUGGAAGUUCUUGGUUUAGUUCGGUUCAGUCACCAAGUUGUGUCUAACUCUUUACCACCCCGUGUACUGCAGCACGCCAGGCUUCCCUGUCCAUCACCAACUCUUGGAGCUUGCUCAAACUCAUGUCCAUCGAGUCGGUGAUGCCAUCCAACCAUCUCAUCCUCUGUCAUCCCCUUCUCCUCCUGCCUCCAUUCUCUCUCAGCAUCAGGGUCUUUUCCAAACAGUCAUAUCUUUGCAUCAGGUGGCCAAAGUAUUGGAACUUCAGCUUCAGCAUCAGUCUUUCCAAUAAAUACUUAGGACUGAUUUCCUUUAGGAUUGACUGGUUUGAUCUCCUUGCAGUCCAAGGGACACUCAAGAGUUUUCUCCAACACCACAGUUCAAAACAUCAAUCCUUUAGUGCUCAGCUUUCUUUAUGGUCCCAUUCUCACAUCCAUACAUGACUACUGGAGAAAGCAUUUUUGACUAGACAGACCUUUAUAGGUAAAGUAAUGUCUCUGCUUUUAAAUAUGCUGUCUGGAUUGGUCAUUGGAGAAGGAAAUGGCAACCCACUCCGGUGUUCUUGCCUGGUGAAUCCUAGGGAUGGAGGAACCUAGUGGGCUGCCGUCUAUGGGGUCGCACAGAGUCGGACAUGACUGAAGCAAUUUAGCAGCUUAGCAGCAGAUUGGUCAUAGCUUUUCUUCCAAGGAGCACAUGUCUUUUAAUUUCAUGUCUUCAGUCACCAUAUGCAGUGAUUUUGAAGCCCCUCCAAAUAAAUUCUGCCACUGUUUCCAUUGCUUCCCCAUCUAUUUGCCAUGAAGUGGUGGGACCAGAUGGCAUGAUCUUAGUUUUCUGAACAUUGGGCUUUAAGCCAACUUUUUCACUCUCCUCUUUCACUUUCAUCAAGAGGCUCUUUAGUUCUUCUUGACUUUCUGCCAUAAGGGUGAUGUCAUCUGCAUAUCUGAAGUUAUUGAAAUUUUUCCCGGCAGUCUUGAUUUCAGCAUGUGCUUCAUCCAGCCUGGGAUUUUGCAUGAUGUACUCUGCGUAUAAGUUAAAUAGUCAGAGUGACACAAUGCGGCCUUGACUUACUCCUUUCCCCAUUUUGAACCAGUCUGUUGUUCCAUGUCCAGUUCUCACUGUUGCUUCUUGACCUGCAUACAGAUAUCUCAGGAGGCAGGUAACGUGGUCUGGUAUUCCCAUUCUUUAGGAAUUUUACAUAGUUUGUUGUGAUCCACACAGUCAAAGGCUUUGGAGUAGUCAAUAAAAUAAAAUUAGAUUUUUUCUGGAACUCUCUUGCUUUUUCUAUGAUCCAACGGAUAUUGGCAAUUUGAUCUCUGGUUCCUCUGCCUUUUCUAAAUCCAGCUUGAACGUCUGGAAGCUCUUGGUUCAGGUACUGUCGAAGCCUAGCUUGGAGAAUUUUGACCAUUACUUUGCUAGAAUGUGAGAUGAGUGCAAUUGUGCGGUAGUUUGAGCAUUCUUUGGCAUUGCCUUUCUCUGGGAUUGGAAUGAAAACGGAACUUUUUCAGUCCCUUGGCCACUGCUGAGUUUUCCAAAUUUGCUGGCAUAUUGAGUGCAGCACUUUCACAGCAUUGUCUUUUAGGAUUUGAAAUAACUCAACUAGAAUUCCAUCACCUCCACUAGCUUUGUUCAUAGUGAUGCUUCCUAAGACCCACUUGACAUCACAUUCUAGGAUGUCUGGCCCUAGGUGAGUGAUCACACCAUCGUGAUUAUCUGAGUCAUUAAGAUCUUAUUUGUAUUUUCUUCUGUGUAUUCUUGCCACCUCUUCUUAAUAUCUUCUGCUUCUCUUAGGUCCAUACCAUUUCUGUCCUUUAUCGAGCCCACUUUUACAUGAGAUAUUCCCUUGGUAUCUCUAAUUUUUUUUGAAGUGAUCUCUAGUCUUUCCCAUUCUAUUGUUUUCCUUUAUUUCUUUUCAUCAAUCGCUGAGGAAAGCUUUCUUGUUAUUCUUGUUAUUCUUUGGAACUCUGCAUUCAGAAGGGUAUACCUUUCCUUUUCUCCUUUGCCUUUUACUUCUCUUCUUUCCUCAGCUAUUUGUAAGGACUCCUCAGACCACCAUUUUGCCUUUUUGCCUUUCUUUUUUUGGGGGAUGGUCUUGAUCACUGCCUCCUGUACAGAGGCUCAAACCUUUGUCCAUAGUACUUCAGGCAGUCUAUCAGAUCUAAUCCCUUGACUCUAUGUGUCACUCCCACUGUAUAAUUGUAGAGGAUUUGAUUUAGGUCAUACCUGAAUGGUCUAGCGGUUUUCCCUACUUUCUUCAAUUUAAGUCUGAAUUUGGCAAUAAGGAGCUCAUGAUCUGAGCCACAGUCAGUGCAUGGUGGUGUUUUUGCUGACUGCAUAAAGUUUCUCCAUCUUUGGCUGCAGAGAAUAUAAUCAAUCUGGUUUCAGUAUUGACCAUUCGGUGAUGUCCAUGUGUAGAGUCUUCUCUUGUGUUGUUGGAAGAGGGUGUCUGCUAUGACCAGUGCAUUCUCUUGGCAAAACUCUGUUACCCUUUGAUCGGCUUCAUUUUGCACUCCAAGGCCUAAUUUGCCUGUUACUCCAGGUAUCUCUAGACUUCAUACUUUUGCAUUCCAAUCUCCUAUGAUGAGAUGGACAUCUUUUUUGGUGUUAGUUUCACAAGGUCUUGUAGGUCUUCAUAGAAUUGUUCAACUUCAGCUUUUUUCAGCGUUACUGGCUUGGGCAUGGGCUUGGAUUACUCUGAUAUUGAAUGGUUUGCCUUGGAAACAGAGAUCAUUCGGUCAUUUUUGAGAUUACAUCCAAGAACUGCAUUUUAGACUCUUUGUUGACUAUGAGGGCUACUCCAUUUCUUCUAAGGGAUUCCUGCCCACAGUAGUAGAUAUAAUGGUCAUCUGAGUUAAAUUCGCCCAUUCCAGUCCAUUUUAGCUCACUGAUUCCUAAGAUGUCGAUGUUCACUCUUGCCAUCUCCUGUUUGAUCACUUCUGAUUUACCUUGAUUCAUGGACCAACAUCCCAGGUUCUUAUGUGAUAUUGCUCUUUACAGCAUCAGACUUUACUUACAUCACCAGUCACAUCCAUAAUUGGGCAUUGUUUUCUCUUUGGCUCUGUGUCUUCAUUCUUCCUGGAGUUGUUUCUCCAUUCUUCUCCAGUAGCAUAUUGGGCAUCUACUGACCUGGGUGUUUCAUGGUUCAGUGUCAUAUCUUUUUGCCUUUUCAUACUGUUUCUGGGGUUCUCUGAUAGCUCAGUUGGUAAAGAAUCUGCCAGCAAUGUGGGAGACCCUGGUUCAAUUCCUGGGUUGGGAAGAUCCCCUGGAGAAGGGAUAUCUACUCAUUCUAGUGUUCUUGGGCUUCCCUUGUGGCUCAGCUAAUAAAGAAUUUGCCUGCAAUGCCAGAGACCUGUGUUCGAUCCCUGGGUUGGGAAGGUCCCCUGGAGAAGGGAAAGACUACCCACUCUAGUAUUCUGGCCUGGAGAAUUCCAUGGUCGAGUCUAUGAGAUUGCAAAGAGUAGGACAUGACUGAGCAACUUUCACUUUCGCAGGGGGUUCUCAAGGCAAGAAUACUGAAGUGAUUUACCAUUCCCUUCUCCAGUAGACCACAUUUUGUCUGAACUCUCCACCAUGACCCAUCUGUCUUGGGUGGUCCUACAUGGCAUUGCUCAUAGUUUCAUUGAGUUAGACAAGGCUGUGGUUCAUGUGAUCAGUUUGAUUAGUUUUCUGUGAUUGUGGUUUUCAUUCUGUCUGUCCUCUGAUGGAUAAGGAUAAGAGGCUUAUGGAAGCUUCCUGAUGGGAGAGACUGACUUUGUGGAAAUUGGGUCUUGUUCUGAUGGUCAAAAAAAGUUAUCAAAUAAGCUUGUUCGUCACCAUUGUCAUCAUCAGCUGCCAUGAUCCUAUUUCUUUUUGAUAGUCACCAUCUGUGCUAGUCGUUGCCCUGCCCCCUCCCAAAUCCUCUCAAAGAAACAUGGAGGGAUCUGGUGUGAAAGCCCAGAAGCUGCAUCCAAGGAAUGUGGCUUCCUAGGGGACCCAGAUAUCAGAAGCACGCCAACCCCCACUGAUUCCACUGCUCCUUUAAACCCCC
ensembl:lncRNA